GGUCCUGUAGCUUAAUGGAUAGAGCAUCUGACUACGGAUCAGAAGGUUGGGGGUUCGAGUCUCUCCAGGAUCA
rnacentral:tRNA from 1 species